rnacentral:rRNA from 1 species
GCUUGUCUCAAAGAUUAAGCCAUGCAUGUCUAAGUAUAGUACCUUAUACUGCGAAACUGCGAAUGGCUCAUUAAAUCAGUUAUAAUUCAUUUGAUGGUACUUACUACUCGGAUAACCGUAGUAAUUCUAGAGCUAAUACGUGCGUAAAUCCCGACUUCUGGAAGGGACGUAUUUAUUAGAUAAAAGGCCAGCCGGGUUUCGGCCCGUUCUUUGGCGACUCAUGAUAACUUCACGAAUCGCAUGGCCUUGUGCCGGCGAUGGUUCAUUCAAGUUUCUGCCCUAUCAGCUUUCGAUGGUAGGGUAUUGGCCUACCAUGGCGUUAACGGGUAACGGAGAAUUAGGGUUCGAUUCCGGAGAGGGAGCCUGAGAAACGGCUACCACAUCCAAGGAAGGCAGCAGG